rnacentral:rRNA from 1 species
CUUUUGCCUGAUNGAAACACGGGUUUUAAGGAUNUGGUGUGGCCAUANCGUGCAUUUUCUGUAGAUGUGCAUUGGAACUUGUGUAAANCGCUAGAUUUAUCACGGUGAGNGCCGGCCGACAAGNUGGUGACCCAUCGCUGUGNCUNACUGAGUUGCUUAUNCAAGAAUUUUUACUUGAGAUCCGUUUGAUACUCAUCAGUUUACUGAGUCUUGGUAAAUGAACAGUGGCUUUAUGCAUGCAUGAAUCUGCGAUCCUUGUCUUGAUGAUGUGAAUGGCAUGAGUUGAUCUCAAACUCCAGUGUUUUUGUCAGUGUCCCAUCUGACCCGUCUUGAAACACGGACCAAGGAGUCUAACAUGUGCACGAGUCACUGGGUUGUUAAACCUAUGGGCGCAAUGAAAGUGAAGUCCAGUUUGGCUGGCUAACAUGGGACCUUUUGAUUAUAUCAGAAGAGCACCAUGAUCCCAUCCAUUCUGCAUUGUCAGUUGGAUGGAGAUAGAGUGUACACGUUGGGACCCGAAAGAUGGUGAACUAUGCCUGAGCAGGGUGAAGUCAGA